rnacentral:lncRNA from 10 species
UUCUGACUCAGGGAAUGACGAAAGGAAGCCACAAAUACCUUAUGUAAAGGGCUUGCAGCUGUGCCCUGUGAAGGAGCACUCCCUCCAGACUGGGCAUGCGUCCUGGCCUCUGUUUGGAAUGCUCUCUUUCUGCCUCAGUUUCCUUCCUGAUGUAUAUAUAUAGACUCAGCCUCUCUGCCCAAGUCUUCUAUGAUGACAGCUCACUAGGCAGGCAGCGUGGAUCUAUGUUCCAGUCUCCUCUUGCAGAUCAGAUACCACCUCUGAGAUCCUUCUCUGCUCCUCACUGACCAAACUCAAGGAACAGAUCUUCCCUGCCCAGGUCUCCAGGACCCCAACCUACCCACUUCUAGGAGAGAAUUCACACAGGGGAAGACCGUGUGAAGACACUGGAAGAAGACAGCCAUCCACAAAGCAAGGACAGGAGCCUUGGAGGAGAACAAUCCUGGGGACUCCUUGAUCUUAGACUUCUAGCCUCCAGGAUUAUUAGAAAAUAAAUUUAUGUUAUUUAAGCUGCCCAGUCUGUGGUACCUUGCUAUGGCAGCCCUAGCAAAAUAAUUCACAGGCUAUUUACACUUGAACAUGAAUUAUUGAUAGUAGGGAAAAAAAAUGAGCCCUGUAACUUUCCUAGUCUUGAGGAAUAGAGACUACAAACAAAUCAAGUCUUCUGUGGGAAUGCUGGGCCAUGGGCUUUGGAAUCACCACCAGUGAUGGAACCCGAAGUAAGCUACUAAACCUCGACAGGCUCAUUCAUGAAUCACCACCAGUGAUGGAACCCCAGGUGGUCCUGAAAGGAGGAGGUGCUUUGCUUCUCUUUUUCGCAGAUGUCAAUUAUGGAUCAACUUCUGAGUCACAUAGAAGAGCACCAUCAAUUGGCCAUUUCUCACCUGAUCACUGAGGAUAUAAAGUGCUUUUCCAGACUCCAGGACUCGGUUCAUUGCUAGUAUCAGGACGCCUCUCAUGUAUGGGAAGCCAGAAACAUCCCAGGAGCCUCACUGACUGCUUGGGCACAGCCCUCUGAGCAGACCUAUGAAGAAACAGAAGGAUUUGUGCCUUUUAGGUAUCUCUGGUCAAAACAGGUAUUUGAAGUUCUGAUUCUGCUAUUAUCUGGCACCUCCACUUGGCCCAUUGCUGGAAAUAUUAGGACUAGAAAACAUCAAGAUCAGGCACCGAACAGGCAAAUCUCCACUGAGUGGUUCUGAUGUGCAAAUAGCUGAUGAAGACUGGUUAUGGUUAUAAAAUGGAACACAGUUUUCUAAUUACAUAGUGUGUGGGUCUCGUGUGUGUGUGUGUGUGCAUGCAUGUGUGUGCAUGUGUGUGUUCGUGUGUGUGUGUGUGCAUGUAUAUCUAAGGUGCUUCACAUUUAGCUCUCAGCUCUCAGAAUGAGUCCACAUUCUGAGGUAAAUCUAUGGUGUUUGAUACCAACCAAUUUGAGAGAAACAUCUGGUGUCAUUUGCUUUUCUAGAUUCAUUUUUAUAUCUCCAAGACAGAGACACAACAAAGCUUUACUUAGGGCCAACUUAUUCUAAAGUUUUAUUGGUAUCUAGAAGUAGACACCCAUGUCUCUUCCACUUCCUUAUUUGAAUAAAAUUAAGUGGGUCUAGUCCUUACCUUAAUUCUCUCUUAAAAAUGCUCAAGAAAACCAAUUUCAAUAGCUGGGCCUAAAACAAUAUUACAAAACUUGGGUGCUAGGAUUAUAACAAGGAUUUUUCCAACCAGCAAGAAACAAAGCAAGACUUUCAAACAGUUUUAUUAUUUUUUAUCUUUUUAAAAAUUGUAUUGGGGUAAAAUACACGUAGCAUAAAAUUUACCAUCUUAACCAUUUUUAGGCCUACAGUUCAGUGGUACUAAGUACAUUCCUAUUGUUAUACGGCCACUACCACUAUCCAUCUCCAGAAUCUUUUCAUCUUCCCAAACUGAAAUUCUGCCUCCAUUAAACAAUAACUCCCCAGUCCCAUCUUUCCCCAGGCCCUGGAAACCACCAUUCUAUUUUCUGUCUUUAUAAAUUUCACUACUCUAGACAUUUCAUAUAAAGAGAAUCAUAUAAUAUGUGUUCUUUUGUGGCUGGCUUAUUUCGCAGAGCAUAAUGUCUUCAAGCUUCAUCCAUGUUGUAGCAUAUGUCAGAAUUACCUUUGUUUUGAGGGUGAAUAAUAUUUCAUCAUAUGUAGAUGCCACAUAUUGUUUACUCACUCAUCCCUCAAUGGACGCUUGGGUUGCAUCCACGUUUUGGCUACUGUGAAAAAUGCUGCUAUGAAUAUGGGUGUACAAACAUCUCUUUGAGACCCUGCUUUCAACUCUUUUGGGUAUAUACCCAAAAGGUUAAUUGGUGGAUCAUACAGUAUUUCUACCUUUAAUUUUUUGAGGACUCACCAUAGUGUUUUCCAUAGCAGUUACAUCAUUUUACAAUCCUACCAAUAAACGGUACACAAGGGUUCCAAUUUUUUCACAUCCUUGCCAACACUUGUUAUUUUAUGUUUUUAGGCUAGCCAUCCUAAUGGGCAUGAGGCCUUCCAAACAGUUUUAUGAUCGACUAAGUUAACCAAGUAAACCAGAUCAAUGACGGGCCAUAACAUCAAUGACCAAAAGAAAGGGGGAUGGAAGACACUCAGAAAGUUCCACCCCAGCCCUUACAACAUUGUUUGAAUGGAGAGUAGAAGGGGACAAGCUCCCAUUUCACAAGGUAAAGUUUAUAGAUUACCUAGAUGUCUUUCAUUGCCACUUGUUCUAGGUCACACACACAAAACCUAACUCAGCAGUCUCAAGUAUAUCAGGAGGAAAAUGAUGCAAGUCUCAGUGAGAGAGAGAGAAAUAGUGAGAGAAAGAGUGAAAAGGAGGAGGAGGAAAAGGAGAAAAGGAAGGAAGAGAGGGAAUAGGAAAGGAGAGGCAAGGAAAGCUUUCACGUAGCAAAUGAAACAGAAUGAAAAGACAAACUACAGAAUAGGAGAAAAUAUUUGCAAACCAUAUAUCUGAUAAGGGAUUACUGUAAUAUCCAAAGUGUAUAAGGAAUUUCUACAACUGAAUAGCAAAAAAUAAAAUAAAAUAAUAACAAAUAACCCUACUAAAAAUGGGCAAAAGACUUGAAUAGACAUUCUCCAAAGAAGACAUGCAAAUGGUCAACAGUUAUAUAAAAAGAUGCUUGACUGGGCGCAGUGGCUCAUGCCUGUAAUCCCAGC